AUGAUGUCCCCAUCACAUCUCCUUGGGCUUCUGCUCCUCUGGGUUCCAGCCUCCAGGGGUGAUAUUGUGCUGACCCAGUCUCCAGACUCCCUGUCUGGGACUCCAGGGGAGAAAGUCACCAUCACCUGCCAGGCCAGUCAGAGCAUUGGCACCAGCUUACACUGGUACCAGCAGAAACCAAAUCAGCCUCCAAAGCUUCUAAUAAAGUAUGCUUCUCAGUCCAUCUCUGGGAUCCCCUCACGGUUCAGUGGCAGUGGAUCUGGGACAGAUUUCACACUCACCAUCAGUAGCCUAGAAGCUGAAGAUGCUGCAACUUACUACUGUCAACAGAGCAGUAGUAAUCCUCACACUGUGCUACACCCCAGAACAAAAACUUGCUCAGCCUGGUCCAGUAUCUUCCACCUCAGGGUCAAUGCCUGCUUCCAGGAGCUCCACGUCACAGCCCUCACCCACCCCUCCUCUGCUCAGGCUGCCAUAACACGGGGGCCCUUUAAUUUGCUCAAUGAGGGACCCUCCCUGACAUUUGGAAGUCAGAAGACGAGGAUUCAUAACUCACCACUGCACCUGCAGGCAGACACGUGGGCAGGGAUGAGGACUGGAGAGUCACCUGGUGAGGUGUUGCAGGCAGCUGAGAGCAUCAGCAUCCCCACCAUUGGGCUUCACAAUCAGGUAUGA